UGGGGAAUUUUGGACAAUGGGGGCAACCCUGAUCCAGCAAUGCCGCGUGUGUGAAGAAGGCCUUCGGGUUGUAAAGCACUUUUGUCCGGAAAGAAAACUUCGGGGCUAAUACACCUGGAGGAUGACGGUACCGGAAGAAUAAGCACCGGCUAACUACGUGCCAGCAGCCGCGGUAAUACGUAGGGUGCGAGCGUUAAUCGGAAUUACUGGGCGUAAAGCGUGCGCAGGCGGUGCUGUAAGACCGAUGUGAAAUCCCCGGGCUUAACCUGGGAACUGCAUUGGUGACUGCAGCGCUGGAGUAUGGCAGGGGGGGGUGGAAUUCCACGUGUAGCAGUGAAAUGCGUAGAGAUGUGGAGGAACACCGAUGGCGAAGGCAGCCCCCUGGGCCAAUACUGACGCUCAUGCACGAAAGCGUGGGGAGCAAACAGG
rnacentral:rRNA from 1 species